rnacentral:rRNA from 1 species
GACGAACGCUGGCGGCAGGCUUAACACAUGCAAGUCGAACGCAUCCUUCGGGGUGAGUGGCAGACGGGUGAGUAACGCGUGGGAACGUGCCCUUCAGUUCGGGAUAACCCAGGGAAACUUGGGCUAAUACCGGAUACGUGCGAGAGCAGAAAGGUUUAUCGCUGAAGGAUCGGCCCGCGUCUGAUUAGCUAGUUGGUGGGGUAAUGGCCCACCAAGGCGACGAUCAGUAGCUGGUCUGAGAGGAUGAGCAGCCACAUUGGGACUGAGACACGGCCCAAACUCCUACGGGAGGCAGCAGUGGGGAAUAUUGGACAAUGGGCGCAAGCCUGAUCCAGCCAUGCCGCGUGAGUGAUGAAGGCCUUAGGGUUGUAAAGCUCUUUCGUCCGGGACGAUAAUGACGGUACCGGAAGAAGAAGCCCCGGCUAACUUCGUGCCAGCCGCCGCAGUAA